rnacentral:rRNA from 1 species
GACAGAGGGGGCAAGCGUUGCUCGGAAUCACUGGACGUAAAGGGCGCGUAGGCGGGAUGGCAAGUCGGUCGUGAAAUCCUUCGGCUCAACCGAAGAACGUCGGCCGAUACUGCCGUUCUUGAGGGAUGCAGAGGAGAUUGGAAUUCCCGGUGUAGCGGUGAAAUGUGUAGAGAUCGGGAGGAACACCGGUGGCGAAGGCGGCCCACUGGCUCGAUACUGACGCUGAGGUGCGAAAGCGUGGGGAGCAAACAGG